AGUCGAGCGAGCUUGCCUAGAUGAAUUUGGUGCUUGCACCAGAUGAAACUAGAUACAAGCGAGCGGCGGACGGGUGAGUAACACGUGGGUAACCUGCCCAAGAGACUGGGAUAACACCUGGAAACAGAUGCUAAUACCGGAUAACAACACUAGACGCAUGUCUAGAGUUUAAAAGAUGGUUCUGCUAUCACUCUUGGAUGGACCUGCGGUGCAUUAGCUAGUUGGUAAGGUAACGGCUUACCAAGGCAAUGAUGCAUAGCCGAGUUGAGAGACUGAUCGGCCACAUUGGGACUGAGACACGGCCCAAACUCCUACGGGAGGCAGCAGUAGGGAAUCUUCCACAAUGGACGCAAGUCUGAUGGAGCAACGCCGCGUGAGUGAAGAAGGGUUUCGGCUCGUAAAGCUCUGUUGGUAGUGAAGAAAGAUAGAGGUAGUAACUGGCCUUUAUUUGACGGUAAUUACUUAGAAAGUCACGGCUAACUACGUGCCAGCAGCCGCGGUAAUACGUAGGUGGCAAGCGUUGUCCGGAUUUAUUGGGCGUAAAGCGAGUGCAGGCGGUUCAAUAAGUCUGAUGUGAAAGCCUUCGGCUCAACCGGAGAAUUGCACCAGAAACUGUUGAACUUGAGUGCAGAAGAGGAGAGUGGAACUCCAUGUGUAGCGGUGGAAUGCGUAGAUAUAUGGAAGAACACCAGUGGCGAAGGCGGCUCUCUGGUCCGCAACUGACGCUGAGGCUCGAAAGCAUGGGUAGCGAACAGGAUUAGAUACCCUGGUAGUCCAUGCCGUANACGAUGAGUGCUAAGUGUUGGGAGGUUUCCGCCUCUCAGUGCUGCAGCUAACGCAUUAAGCACUCC
rnacentral:rRNA from 1 species